rnacentral:lncRNA from 1 species
UCGAGAGCUGAUGAUGAUCAAAAGGUAAGGGUAGGAAGGAACUAGUGGUCUGAUCCUUGAACUAGAGGAUGUGAUAAACUAGGGGUCCUUAGACGCAAGCGCUGAAGGGUUCCCAAGUUUUACAUACACCCUCGAGUUGAAGAAAAGAUCACAGCCAAGCCCUUGGGCGAGGCGGAUAAGGGUCGGCAGAACAGACAGGGUCGGGCGAGACGGAACUGGGGUCGGGCGGAUAGGAGGGGUCGGGCGAGGCGGACUGGGGUCGGCAACUCACCUUCUUCCUGAAAGGAAAACGUGGGGUCGGGAAGAAGCAGACUUGGGCGGAGGGACUAAAGCUUCGAGCAAGGGCUAAGACUGGCAAUGCUCCGGCAGCGGCGCUGCUUCUUGCGGAUCACAAGAGAGCUUGGACGCAGCACGGAGGAGCAAGCGGCUCGGUGACUUAGGGAGAACUGAGAGAGACUCCUCAAGAACUGGGUGGGUGGCGCUAGGAGCUUGAGCAGGGAGCUAGAGAAGGCUAAGGGCAACAAGAGCGGAGGGAAACUCCGGCGACGGGGGCAUUCCUUUUAUAGCUGCUGGAGUAGAGGGAAGGAAAUGGCGCAGAGAGAGAGAAGGGGAGCGGCGCGAAGGCCGGGAAGAAGCAAUGGAGUGCUCUGCCGGGGCGGCGAUUGAGCAAAGAGGGCGGUGGUGCAGAACUCUGGGGGUGACACCAGCGAUCAUUGCGUUCUGCCGUCAGGGCGGCGUAGGGGCGGGUAGACUGGUGGUUGAGAUUUGGCGGAAAGCGGGCGUCGUCGUGCGGAAGAGGCGAUAGAAGCGACCGGUUUAACGGCGCUAGAAUCGAGGGCGCACAGGUGAGAAGACAGGUGGACGCGGGCGCGGGGGAGAGCGCGGAACAACAGAUUGUCGGGCGGCGUCUGACAGAGCGGGGAAAGGAACUGUCGCGGCCGCGGUCGGGGUUGGCGGUGGAGGAAUCAUCGUGUAGCGGCGACCGGGCGGCGCAACUGUGGCUGAAGGGACGGAAAAGACGGGCGACAUCGGGCUCUGGGGCCGGGAUCUGGUGGCGUGAUGAUGGGCGCGGGAGACGAGGUUCUGCAGAAAGGGGUGCAGAGGGCUUCCGCUGCUAUUGGGGAAAGGGGGCGCGGGAACCCACUCUGUUGCUUGCCAGAGAUAAAACUGAGCGAUGGCGUCGGAGAAGACGAG